rnacentral:sRNA from 1 species
GAAACUAUUGGAAAGUUUUUCCAAGCCGACAUUGCAGAAAAUGCUUUGAAAAAUUCCUUAGAAACAGAAAUACCUACUGUCAGUGUUUUAGCUGAUGAAGAAUUCCUUCCCUUCAGAGAAAAUACAUUUGACCUGGUGGUUAGCAGUUUAAGUUUGCAUUGGGUGAAUGACCUUCCUAGAGCACUUGAACAGAUUCAUUAUAUUUUAAAACCAGAUGGAGUGUUUAUCGGUGCAAUGUUUGGAGGUGACACACUCUAUGAACUUCGGUGUUCCUUACAGUUAGCGGAAACGGAAAGAGAAGGAGGAUUUUCUCCACACAUUUCUCCUUUCACUGCUGUCAAUGACCUGGGACAUCUGCUUGGGAGAGCUGGCUUUAAUACUCUGACUGUGGACACUGAUGAAAUUCAAGUUAACUAUCCUGGAAUGUUUGAAUUGAUGGAAGAUUUACAAGGUAAGGCACUUUAAAGAAUUUUUAGACUCCAUUGGGAAAGGUAGGCCAAAAAAAAAAGAAUUUUUAGACUCCAUUUGAGAGAAACAUUUUGAGAGCCAGC